rnacentral:rRNA from 1 species
GACGAACGCUGGCGGCGCGCCUAACACAUGCAAGUCGAACGGAGCUGAGAGAAGCUUGCUUUUCUUAGCUUAGUGGCGAACGGGUGAGUAACGCGUGAGUAACCUGCCCUGGAGUGGGGGACAACAGUUGGAAACGACUGCUAAUACCGCAUAAGCCCACGAUCCGGCAUCGGAUUGAGGGAAAAGGAUUUAUUCGCUUCAGGAUGGACUCGCGUCCAAUUAGCUAGUUGGUGAGGUAACGGCCCACCAAGGCGACGAUUGGUAGCCGGACUGAGAGGUUGAACGGCCACAUUGGGACUGAGACACGGCCCAGACUCCUACGGGAGGCAGCAGUGGGGGAUAUUGCACAAUGGGGGAAACCCUGAUACAGCGACGCCGCGUGGAGGAAGAAGGUUUUCGGAUUGUAAACUCCUGUCGUUAGGGACGAUAAUGACGGUACCUAACAAGAAAGCACCGGCUAACUACGUG